rnacentral:rRNA from 1 species
CUCCUGGAAACGGGUGGUAAUGCCGGAUGCUCCAUCACACUGCAUGGUGUGUUGGGAAAGCCUUUGCGGCAUGGGAUGGGGUCGCGUCCUAUCAGCUUGAUGGCGGGGUAACGGCCCACCAUGGCUUCGACGGGUAGCCGGCCUGAGAGGGCGACCGGCCACAUUGGGACUGAGAUACGGCCCAGACUCCUACGGGAGGCAGCAGUGGGGAAUAUUGCACAAUGGGCGCAAGCCUGAUGCAGCGACGCCGCGUGAGGGAUGGAGGCCUUCGGGUUGUAAACCUCUUUUGUUAGGGAGCAAGGCAUUUUGUGUUGAGUGUACCUUUCGAAUAAGCACCGGCUAACUACGUGCCAGCAGCCGCGGUAAUACGUAGGGUGCAAGCGUUAUCCGGAAUUAUUGGGCGUAAAGGGCUCGUAGGCGGUUCGUCGCGUCCGGUGUGAAAGUCCAUCGCUUAACGGUGGAUCCGCGCCGGGUACGGGCGGGCUUGAGUGCGGUAGGGGAGACUGGAAUUCCCGGUGUAACGGUGGAAUGUGUAGAUAUCGGAAAAGAACACCA